GUGGGAAUAGCUCAGUGGUAGAGCUCAUGCUUAGCGUGCACGAGGUUCUGAGUUCAAUUCCCAGGACCUCCA
rnacentral:tRNA from 1 species